rnacentral:rRNA from 1 species
ACGCGCGGAACCUUACCAGGUCUUGACAUCUGAAUGACCGGUACAGAGAUGUGCCUUUCCUUCGGGACAUUCAAGACAGGUGGUGCAUGGUUGUCGUCAGCUCGUGUCGUGAGAUGUUGGGUUAAGUCCCGCAACGAGCGCAACCCUUGAUCUUAGUUGCCAGCAGGUAAGGCUGGGCACUCUAAGGUGACUGCCGGUGACAAACCGGAGGAAGGUGGGGAUGACGUCAAAUCAUCAUGCCCCUUAUGACCUGGGCUACACACGUACUACAAUGGCCAGUACAACGGGAAGCGAAGCCGCGAGGUGGAGCCAAUCCUAAAAAGCUGGUCUCAGUUCGGAUUGCAGGCUGCAACUCGCCUGCAUGAAGUCGGAAUUGCUAGUAAUCGCGGAUCAGCAUGCCGCGGUGAAUACGUUCCCGGGUCUUGCACACACCGCCCGU